rnacentral:rRNA from 1 species
GACGAACGCUGGCGGCGCGCUUAACACAUGCAAGUCGAACGGAAAGGCCUGCUUUCCCUUGUGGAUUGCGGGUACUCGAGUGGCGAACGGGUGAGUAACACGUGAGUGAUCUGCCCCCAACUUGGGUAUAAGCCUGGGAAACUGGGUCUAAUUCCCGAUAGGACUGCAGGGUGGUGCCUGUGGUGGAAAACGAUUUUCUAGUGGUUGGGGAUGAGCUCGCGGCCUAUCAGCUUGUUGGUGGGGUAAUGGCCUACCAAGGCGGCGACGGGUAGCCGGCCUGAGAGGGUGGACGGCCACAUUGGGACUGAGAUACGGCCCAGACUCGUAGAGGAGGCAGCGAGGGGGAAUAGUGCAAAAUGGGCGGAAGCCUGAUGCAGCGACGCCGCGUGGGGGAUGACGGCCUUCGGGUUGUAAACUCCUUUCGACCGCGAGGAAGCCACCUGGUUGGAAGGGUGGUGACGGUAGUGGUAGAAGAAGCACCGGCUAACUACGUG